ensembl:lncRNA
UAAAAACUGUUUAUAAUAUUCCCCAUUUGUUGUACGGGUGGGGUUCAUGAGGGAGAAGUUCCCGCGAACUGCCGGUGCCCAGCUGAUGUUAAUUGGCAAUCAACCUGGAUAACUCCCGCGGAGACAUAAGGAGCGACACACAGCGGGACAGGAGGUUGUUUUUUUCAACUAUAUGGCCGAUUGGCAGCAACCUGAUGGACACCUUUCCGCUCAGAUUGGAUUAUUAUUUAACGUUUUAAUCGUGGACGCCAUCCUCGGAUCAAGGAACUGUGGGUCACAGGGAGGGCACACGAUGGGCGAAGGUCCACCCCUGGAUGAGUUGCCAGUUCAUCGCAAGGCCCUCUAUGAGCAUUUUGGGGUUCAGCACCUGUCACGGACCAGAUGAGAACCCAGAUGCGACACCAGAGUUUGGCUGAACACCGCUUUAUUGUCAGAAACAGACAACAGACAGGAUUCAAUGGGGAGCGAGCAGAAUAGAAUAGUCAGGGACAGGCAAGGUCGAGAUCGGGCAGAAGGCAGACAGAAUUUACCAGGGAGCAGGCAAAACAGAAUGGUCAGGAGCAGGCAAGGUCGGAACCGGGCAGGCAGGCAAACAGGAAUACGCUGGAAAGUCAUCUGAACACAAAUAACGAUCUGGCAGGGAGCAGGUGUGCCUCCGGGGAUUAAGAAGAGAGCUCAUUAGAGUCCUGAUGCACAACAGGUGUGCGGGGCGAAGCGACUCACGGGCAUGAUUGUAAUUUUUUUUUUUUUGGGUCAUAUCUUUUAAUUUUUGCCAUUUUUGUUCCAAAAAAAACUUGCUUGACAGCAAACUGUAGCUUUGCAGUUGAAAAGACUGACUCCUAAUUAGAACCCAAAGGAGCUAAUUUUGGCAUUGAAAAGUUAUUCUGUUUACGUUUGAAUGGAAGAAACAAGUCAUUUAUUCAUCAAAAAUAAUAUUGCUCAGAUAUUGAUUUAUAUUAAACAGAAAACCCCAAUCACCAAACAAGAACUUACCUUAUGCACAAAUGAAUCAAUACAAUUAGUAGAAACUCAACAAAAUCACUAAUUAAACACACUUAACUAGUCAUAUCAUUGUUUAAAGGUAUAUUUAGUUUGUAGCCGUUUUUGAUGGUAAGGUUUAUUAACUGUACUUUUUUAUUCCUUUGUAUUCAAAUAAUUUACUUGAACUUAAUAUUCAAAUAGUAUAUCCUUGAAUGUGUCCUUGAAAUGUUUUGCUUUUUAUGCUAAGUUGCAAACUCUCUUUGUCAUCUAAGGAACAGCAGCAGAAUAAGGGUUAAUAAUUUAACCGGCAUACAAAGAGCAGCAUAUUAAAAGCCUUCUGUGCCAAUUCCACAGAAUCAGGGCCAGUUUAAUGAAGAACACUGAGGCAGAAAGUGGGAUUAUAAUAUUAAAGUGGAGAAAACUGCCUUGCUGGCAAAUAUCAUGAAUUAAUGUGAAAAUACGUUUUUUUGAGACAACUUUUCUUUCAAAUGCAAGCAUUCUCUCUCUUUCUGUGGGGAGCGUGGUGCGAGCUGAGAGUGUUCUAAUUUGAGAAUUUUUCAACCUUUUCGAGCUGUUUAAGCUGUUUUCUUGUUCGGUUUUGUCGAUAUAGUUUAAUUUAGUGUUGGUGGUGUUUUGUGUUGUAUUUUUAGUUUAGUUGUUUGGUGUUUUGGCGUGUAACCAGCCAGCGUUUGUCUGGCUGGUUGGCAUCUGACUCUGUGGUGGUAGUGGGGAUCUCUCCCGGUUAACGCAGAGACAUGGCGUUAAGGUGGGGGCCAGGUCUCUGUACACUGUGGAGGAGGUGGCCCUGGCUGUGGGGGAGGUUAUAGGACAUGGGG